AUUGGACCGAUCGGCCCAUAACCUUUCGAUUGAUAAACUCCACGUGGGUCACGGCCAUUAAGCCCAUUAAUUAUCUUAUUACUCGUCUCCCACUCUCUCUUCCCCAAAAUCUUUGCAUUUUUCGAUCGACUUCUUCCUCGAGGUUAGUUUCUAGCAGCUUCUCGAAGCUUCCCUCCAGUUCUGCAUCCCGGUCGCUUGGCACCACCCAAGGCAUGGGCAUGGUUGUGUUCUUGGCUAUUGUGCGGAUGCGCGCGAUGUAAGAGUGAGUGGUGCGUCCUCAAGCGCGCGCGCUCGCCCACAAGGUGUUCGACCAAACGCCGCAAUGGCCUUUUUUUUGUUCCUCUUUAUGACGGCUAUAGACGCCUGGUUUUAAUCACAGGAUGGGAUCGAUGCGAAUGUGCGAGUUCGUGGCAGAUGGGCAGUUGCUAUGAAGGAGGCAGUAUCAGGUAGUAUUAGCAUACACAAUCGCUAUCUUUUCCAAAAUCCAAGUAGAAAAAGGAAAAAAACACACACAAAAUCUAUAUCUAUAUUUACAUUGUGAAGCCUCUGCUGCUGCUACUAAUGCUACUCAUUGCUCUGUAGAAAUCGGUGAUCACGGAGUUUAUGCACGCUGGUUUGUCCUCCAGAGGGAUCGAUCACCUUGUACAAUGGUAUGCCUUUCUUUUUCUUUUUACCUGCUAUUUUUUUCUCUUCUGUACAUACAUACUCUCAUGUUGUUGCAUUUAACCAUUUACAUAAUUGAGCCUUUUUUUGGUCUUUGCUCCUGUAUGUCCCUUCAGAAAGGGAUCCAUGCCUGUACAUAUUUGCAACAAGGAGAUUUUAAUUAUGGUGCUAAUGGUGGUGGAUACAAAUAAAUGGCUGUGGCCAAGAUUGAUGGCGUGGUUCUGACCUUGAUUAAUCCGGUUUCAGUCCCGCAGAAAAUAAUGUCAUUUGCGGUGAACAUGCUCGUGAUCUUGUUCCCUGCAGAUAGCCUCCCUACUUUCUGCUGAUUCUCUCUCAACCAUAUCUGUCAAAAAUACAGAAGCAGAAGCAUUGUCAGGUUGGCUGGCUUCUGUAAUUUUCCAACUAUGUAACCUCAAGGCAAAGGUGGUGCCUUUAAUAGGGACAACCAAAAUUUCAAAAUAAAUUUAGAUGACCUGAAUGAUACUAGGGCUUUUGUCGCAGUUCAGGUAGAUGAAGUCCUCCACCACUGCCAUUGCCUCUACAUUUGUUCCCUUUGAUAUCGCCAUCGUCAUUGUAGGUUUGCAUCGCUUCUUCCAGUCCUGUUUUACCGAUAUUUAUAACUUUUUUUUCUCAAAUCCUUGUAAUCUGAUUUUUUUCACAGGUUCAAGUUUGAUCCUUACCUUUAUGGUGGAUCCUUCCACUUGAGUACCAGCACAGUACAUCCAAUCUUUAUAUACUACAAUGGAACUAAUGGG
rnacentral:lncRNA from 1 species